rnacentral:rRNA from 1 species
AUUGAACGCUGGCGGCAGGCCUAACACAUGCAAGUCGAGCGGAUGAAGGGAGCUUGCUCCUGGAUUCAGCGGCGGACGGGUGAGUAAUGCAUAGGAAUCUGCCCGGUAGUGGGGGAUAACGUCAGGAAACGGGCGCUAAUACCGCAUACGUCAUGAGGGAGAAAGUGGGGGAUCUUCGGACCUCACGCUAUCAGAUGAGCCUAGGUCGGAUUAGCUAGUUGGUGGGGUAAAGGCCUACCAAGGCGACGAUCCGUAACUGGUCUGAGAGGAUGAUCAGUCACACUGGAACUGAGACACGGUCCAGACUCCUACGGGAGGCAGCAGUGGGGAAUCUUGGACAAUGGGCGAAAGCCUGAUCCAGCCAUGCCGCGUGUGUGAAGAAGGUCUUCGGAUUGUAAAGCACUUUAAGUUGGGAGGAAGGGCAGUAAGUUAAUACCUUGCUGUUUUGACGUUACCAACAGAAUAAGCACCGGCUAACUUCGUG